CGUUUGGAGCCAGUCGCACAACAGACCUGGGAUCAGACUGUGUAUAAGCUGACCCAGCAGCUGCGUGUGUGGGCCAUAGACUGCAUAUGAAGGUGUAGACUGGUCCCAGAUCAGUGCUGCUGGAGAGUGUUUACGGACUGGGACCCGCCCCAUCACGUCAGAAGACCCGCUGAAAUUCAAAGUUGGAGGAGGAGGAGACUGGAGGUUUCUAUGUGUUUAUGUCUGUGGUCAGAACAAGAAGACCCCUCUCCUCGUCAGUCGGAACUCUCCCACAUCUCCUCAGCUCAGUAUGGAAGCUGGCGAGGAAAACAACGCAAGCAUGAAGAGACAGAGAACACCUCUGUCAGAUUCUGAAGACAAUGUCUUCUCGCCCUCAGAUAUGAAAGAUGGCCAGAAGCGGCGGCGUCUGGACGCAGCAGGUCAAGAGAACCGAAGCCCUAAACCAUCCAGCUCUGGACGACUAGCUGAGCUGGGGAUAAAGGCCGAUACAUCGAUGGUUCCCUCAGUGCAGUCCCGGGUCCACCAGCUCACCCACAGAAGAGAGGUCUUGAGUACUGAGACA